rnacentral:rRNA from 1 species
ACAGGGAUUACCUCAGUAACGGCGAGUGAAGCGGUAACAGCUCAAAUUUGAAAUCUGGUGGGUCCGAGUUGUAAUUUGUAGAAGAUGCUUUGGGUGUGGUCCUUGGAACAGGUCGUCAUAGAGGGUGAGAAUCCCGUAUGCGACUGGCUGCCUUCGCCCGUGUAAAGCUCUUUCGACGAGUCGAGUUGUUUGGGAAUGCAGCUCUAAUUGGGUGGUAAAUUUCAUCUAAAGCUAAAUAUAUGCCAGAGACCGAUAGCGCACAAGUAGAGUGAUCGAAAGAUGAAAAGCACUUUGGAAAGAGAGUUAAACAGUACGUGAAAUUGUUGAAAGGGAAGCGCUUGCGACCAGACUCGGGCGCCGCUGAUCAACGGGGGCACUCGGCGGUGUGGGCCAGCAUCGGUUGGUGGCUGGAUAAAGGAAUGUAGCUUCCUCCCUCGGUGCAAUGCAGCCACUGGGACCGAGGACCGCGCUUCGGUCGUAAGCGACCCGUCUUGAAACACGGACCAAGGAGUCUAACAUCUAUGCGAGUGUUUGGGUGUAAACCCAUACGCGAAAUGAAAGUGAACGUAGGUGAGGUGCAUCAUCGACCGAUCCUGAUGUCUUCGGAUGGAUUUGAGUAAGAGCAUAGCUGUUGGGACCCGAAAGAUGGUGAACUAUGCCUAAAUAGGGUGAAGCCAGAGGAAACUCUGGUGGAGGCUCGGUUCUGACGUGCAAAUCGAUCGUCAAAUUUGGGGCGAAAGACUAAUCG